rnacentral:rRNA from 1 species
UGGAGAGUUUGAUCCUGGCUCAGAUUGAACGCUGGCGGCAGGCCUAACACAUGCAAGUCGAGCGGUARCACAGAGAGCUUGCUCUCGGGUGACGAGCGGCGGACGGGUGAGUAAUGUCUGGGAAACUGCCUGAUGGAGGGGGAUAACUACUGGAAACGGUAGCUAAUACCGCAUAACGUCUUCGGACCAAAGUGGGGGACCYUCGGGCCUCAUGCCAUCAGAUGUGCCCAGAUGGGAUUAGCUAGUAGGUGGGGUAAAGGCUCACCUAGGCGACGAUCCCUAGCUGGUCUGAGAGGAUGACCAGCCACACUGGAACUGAGACACGGUCCAGACUCCUACGGGAGGCAGCAGUGGGGAAUAUUGCACAAUGGGCGCAAGCCUGAUGCAGCCAUGCCGCGUGUAUGAAGAAGGCCUUCGGGUUGUAAAGUACUUUCAGCGAGGAGGAAGGGGUUAAGGUUAAUAACCUUGGCGAUUGACGUUACUCGCAGAAGAAGCACCGGCUAACUCCGUGCCAGCAGCCGCGGUA